CGCUACGCCUCAGACAUGUCCAGAAGCGCACACAUAACCAUCAGCAGUAAAAGAGGACAAACUGGCUUUGCUCUUCCACAAACAAAUCUAAAUUCAUAUAAAUGUUCCCAUACUGUUUAAAUGACUACGUCGUACACUAUUUUUCAGGUCGGAUUGCAGACCAGGAUAAUGGAGCCAUGGCCUAAACACCCAGAAACAAGCCACAGCAGAUGUAAAGAGUCAGAAAGAUUCGGACAGACACCUCACAAAGAUCAUGAGCUUGAGAGGAAAUCCAAUUGACAGAGUUUGAUUACCAGAGGAAGAGAGGGAGGAUGAGGAGCUGAGAGGCUGCUGGCAGAUGCUCAGGAGAGUGGCAGUGUGUGUGGAGAAGGUGCCAGGAGGACGUGUCACUUGUUGGCGAUUUGGAGCCGAGAGCUCCUACACUGCGCCAUUCUGUGGCCUGCUGCAUUUAACGGGAUUGGCUGAUGGACUGGGGACUGAGCCAUUAAUCUUUCUUCCCUCUUAUCCAAUUACAGCACCUAUAGCGGAGCAAAGCAAAGCAGUGAAAGCAGAGCGUUUGUGCCAACUGCCAGCGGCCACUCACAACAUAUAAUCACAGGGACAGAGUUUUACAAUUGAUACCAUCUAGAGGGAACGUAAAGGUACAGGUCACACCAAAAUGACAAUUUUGCCAUUAUUUACUCACCCUCAAGACUUUCCAAACUUGAAUGCUGUUAUUUUUUUCAGUGGAACAUAAAAGUAGAAGUUUUUGAAGAAUCUUCAGCUUUUUUCCAAACAACAACAGUUGUGACCACAUCCAUUAAAGGACUAGUUCACUUUAAAAUGAAAAUUACCAAGCCAUCCUAGGUGUAUACGACUUUCUUGUUUCAGAU